rnacentral:rRNA from 1 species
CUUGAACGCUGGCGGCAGGCUUAACACAUGCAAGUCGAGCGAGCGGCGGACGGGUGAGUAAUGUCUGGGAAACUGCCCGAUGGAGGGGGAUAACUACUGGAAACGGUAGCUAAUACCGCAUACCAUCGGAUGUGCCCAGAUGGGAUUAGCUAGUAGGUGGGGAAACGGCUCACCUAGGCGACGAUCCCUAGCUGGUCUGAGAGGAUGACCAGCAAAACUGGAACAGAGACACGGUCAAUACUCCUACGGGAGGCAGAAUAGGGGAAUAUCGCACACUGGGCGCAAGCCUGAUGCAGCCCUGCCGAGUGUAGGAAGAAGGCCUUCGGGUUGUAAAGUACUUUCAGCGAGGAGGCGUUACUCGCAGAAGAAGCACCGGCUAACUCCGUGCCAGCAGCCGCGGUAAUUC